GCCUGUAGGCUAUUAAAGAUUGAGUCAUUCAAGCGUGAUCCCAUCUGACCUCAGAAGCUAAGCAGGUUCGGGCCUGGUUAGUACUUGGAUGGGAGACCACCUAAGAAGACCGGGUGCUGUAGUUG
rnacentral:rRNA from 1 species